UACGUAGGGGGCGAGCGUUGUCCGGAGUUACUGGGCGUAAAGCGCGCGCAGGCGGUCUUCCAAGUCAGUGGUGAAAGCCUGGAGCUCAACUCCAGAACUGCCAUUGAAACUGUUGGACUUGAGUACGAGAGAGGUGAGUGGAAUUCCCAGUGUAGAGGUGAAAUUCGUAGAUAUUGGGAAGAACACCGGUGGCGAAGGCGGCUCACUGGCUCGUAACUGACGCUCAGGCGCGACAGCGUGGGGAUCAAACAGG
rnacentral:rRNA from 1 species